UACGGAGGGGGCUAGCGUUGUUCGGAAUUACUGGGCGUAAAGCGCGCGUAGGCGGCCUGAUAAGUAGGGGGUGAAAUCCUGCGGCUUAACCGCAGGGCUGCCUUCUAAACUGUCAGCCUAGAGCACAGUAGAGGCAGGUGGAAUUCCCGGUGUAGCGGUGGAAUGCGUAGAGAUCGGGAAGAACAUCAGUGGCGAAGGCGGCCUGCUGGGCUGUUGCUGACGCUGAGGCGCGACAGCGUGGGGAGCAAACAGG
rnacentral:rRNA from 1 species